rnacentral:misc_RNA from 1 species
UCUCCGUUGGUGAACCAGCGGAGGGAUCAUUACCGAGUUUACAACUCCCAAACCCAAUGUGAACCAUACCAAACUGUUGCCUCGGCGGGGUCACGCCCCGGGUGCGUCGCAGCCCCGGAACCAGGCGCCCGCCGGAGGGACCAACCCAACUCUUUCUGUAGUCCCCUCGCGGACGUUAUUUUUACAGCUCUGAGCAAAAAUUCAAAAUGAAUCAAAACUUUCAACAACGGAUCUCUUGGUUCUG